rnacentral:rRNA from 1 species
UACGUAGGUCCUGAGCGUUGUCCGGAUUUAUUGGGCGUAAAGGGAGCGUAGAUGGCAUGGCAAGUCAGAUGUGAAAGCCCGGGGCUCAACCCCGGGACUGCAUUUGAAACUGUCAGGCUGGAGUGCAGGAGAGGUAAGCGGAAUUCCUAGUGUAGCGGUGAAAUGCGUAGAUAUUAGGAGGAACACCAGUGGCGAAGGCGGCUUACUGGACUGUAACUGACGUUGAGGCUCGAAAGCGUGGGGAGCAAACAGG